rnacentral:tRNA from 1 species
AGGAGUUAGUUUAAAAAAACACCUACCUUCGAACUAGUCAAUUUAGGCCAACCCUAAACUCCUAA